rnacentral:lncRNA from 1 species
CUGGGGUGGUUAGCUGGGGUCAUCUUUACAAAGAGCCAACAGGUGAGAGUCCCUUAAGGGCAGGCGUGCCAAGAAACUGAGACACUAAGAGUGCCUAAAAUAUCCCAGAGGCAGCCAUUCGGCGGCCUGGGUGGGCUUCUUCCCAGGCCAGGACCGCACAGGGUCUGGGAUAGAUGGCUCACAGCCAUCAAAACAGAGGACCGAGGGACAUGAGUGAGGAGAUGGGGGCAAGACCACAGAAGUGAGGAAGUGUGGUUUGGGCAAGUUGGGGUAACGUGGUUGGUGAGGGGAGGACGCUGGCGUGGGGACCCUGGUGUGAGGACCCUGGUGUGAGGACCCUGGUGUGGGGACCUUGGUGUGGGGACCCCGGUGUGAGGACCCUGGUGUGAGGACCCUGGUGUGGGGACCUUGGUGUGGGGACCCCGGUGUGAGGACCCUGGGGGACCCUGGUGUGGGGACCCUGGUGUGAGGACCCUGGUGUGAGGACCCUGGUGUGAGGACCCUGGUGUGAGGACCCUGGUGUGGGGACCCUGGUGUGGGGACCCUGGUGUGAGGACCCUGGUGUGGGGACGCAGGUGUGAGGACCCUGGUGUGGGGACCCUGGUGUGGGGACCCCGGUGUGGGGAUGUUGUCUGGGAAAGUUGGUAAGAAGGUGACGGUGAAGGGAUACUUGUCAGUAAUAAUCGUGAGUCAUGAGGAUGAGGGAGUGGGGCACACCUGAGAGGGGUGGUGGUGAGGUGACACUGGUGUGAGCAAGUUGUCCAGGUGACCCUUGGAGGAGACACUGUUGAAGGAACCCUGGAGAGGGGACAUAUCUGAGGGACGCUGGUGAGGAGACAUUGGAAGAGGAGGUUGGUAAGGGAAUGGUGGUCAUGGGACACUGGUGCGAGGUUGCUCAGGGGGAUGGGUUGGUGAAGGAUUGGUGGUGAGCAGACACUGGUGAGGGGAAUUUCAUGAGGGGAUGCUGUGGACUGACGUUGGUGAUGAUGUGGGCAUGCCUGCCAGGAGAUGUUGGCAAGGGGUGCUUCUGGGAGGCACCGGGCAUGGGGCACUCUUGGCUGUGUUGCUCGGGGUGUUGGUGAGGCCGUAUGGGCGGGGAGACAGUGCAUGGGAGCUACUGAGGAGAGGCUGAGUGGAGGUUGGUGUGGCGGAGAUGACGCUGAGGGCAUCUUGAUGAGGGGCCACUGCUGAGAGGAGAGACAGUGGGGGUGCUUCUGACGGGACACUGAUGAGGGCCGUUCAUCCGGGGCCUUGGUGAGGAUGCUGAGCAGAUGACAGCAAGGGGAUAUUGUUUAGGGGUG